rnacentral:misc_RNA from 1 species
UUUCCGUAGGUGAACCUGCGGAAGGAUCAUUAAAAAUGAAGCCGGGAAACCGGUCCUUCUCACCCUUGAUUAUCUCAAUUUGUUGCUUUGGUGGGCCGCGCAAGCACCGGCUUCGGCCGGAUCGUGCCCGCCAGAGGACCACAACUCUGUAUUAUAUGUCGUCUGAGUACUAUAAAAUAGUUAAAACUUUCAACAACGGAUCUCUUGGUUCUG